UUUUAUUUGUAAAUUCUUACAAUCAUGGACCAACAAAAUUAGUGAUCUGCUAUUUGCUCCAAAGUUAACAUUGAUAGUAUUAUUGAUGUGUAGGUGUAGAAAAAAUUUUUAAACACCCCAAAGUGGAUAUGGUAGGCAAGAUUACCAUCAUGCAAUUGCUGCUGAAAAGCUGUCAAACUUAAAUCCUUUUCUUCAUCCAGAUGCCAAACUCAGGAUUUAAUGUCGAAAUAAAAGUUUGAGAGGGAAUUUGCAGCUUGAAAGUAGAUGGAUUUAUUGCAUUUUGUACGUUAAUAGAAAUUUCCCAUUUUGAUUUGCAAGGACAUUCUCACAAAUUUAGAGACUACCAUGUCCCUCUUGGCAGAUAUGUUCUGAGACUUACAAGACUUACAAUGAAUAUAAAGCAUAAUAUUAAAUUUGUAUCAGCAAAAAUGGUGUCCUCACACACUUUAUAUAUAAAAGAAACUGAGGAAACAUGAAUUUUUUAUAGUUAUAUUUUUCCAGUUUCUUUCAUUCCUGUUGUAACAAAGAGACAGAACUAAGUUAAACAUGCAAAAGGUUAAAUUUUAUUUGAAUAUUCAUGUUUUAUCAAUAA